UACGGAGGGGGCUAGCGUUGUUCGGAAUUACUGGGCGUAAAGCGCACGUAGGCGGCUUUGUAAGUUAGAGGUGAAAGCCCAGGGCUUAACCCUGGAAUUGCCUUUAAGACUGCAUCGCUAGAAUUGUGGAGAGGUGAGUGGAAUUCCGAGUGUAGAGGUGAAAUUCGUAGAUAUUCGCAAGAACACCAGUGGCGAAGGCGGCUCACUGGCCCGAUACUGACGCUGAGGCACGAAAGCGUGGGGAGCAAACAGG
rnacentral:rRNA from 1 species